rnacentral:rRNA from 1 species
AACGAACGCUGGCGGCAUGCCUAACACAUGCAAGUCGAACGAGAUCUUCGGGUCUAGUGGCGCACGGGUGCGUAACGCGUGGGAAUCUGCCCUUAGGUUCGGAAUAACAGUUGGAAACGACUGCUAAUACCGGAUGAUGACGUUAAGUCCAAAGAUUUAUCGCCUAAGGAUGAGCCCGCGUAGGAUUAGCUAGUUGGUGUGGUAAGAGCGCACCAAGGCGACGAUCCUUAGCUGGUCUGAGAGGAUGAUCAGCCACACUGGGACUGAGACACGGCCCAGACUCCUACGGGAGGCAGCAGUGGGGAAUAUUGGACAAUGGGCGAAAGCCUGAUCCAGCAAUGCCGCGUGAGUGAUGAAGGCCUUAGGGUUGUAAAGCUCUUUUACCCGGGAUGAUAAUGACAGUACCGGGAGAAUAAGCUCCGGCUAACUCCGUGCCAGCCGCCGCAGUAAGAC